rnacentral:lncRNA from 1 species
GGGAUCCGUUAUAGGAAGUGAAGCAGAGUCGUGGCCAUUACUGUGGCCUGCCAGAGAGUCCAGGCCCGUCGGCUGAAGCUCGGUUGGGGUGUCUGAUGGAGAGGGGUAGCUCUCCGUCUAAAAAGAGCUCGGAUGUUGCUGGCGAACCUUCUACCGUUGGGUGCCUUGGGUGCUAGUACUGCAGGUGAAGGUCAUCUGCUGUAGAAGCUCGAUCAGGGGCUUUCUGUGGACGAAGUUUGGUUUCAUGCAGAAUCUGAUAGAAGGUCGACCGGUAGUGGAUGUUGGAUGAUGCUGGAGAGGUUCACCACCUGCUGGAGGGGUCUGACUACUGGAGCCCGUGUGUCAUAGGAGUUCAUCCGAAAUCUAUCCGCUACAGUAGUUCGAUCGGAGUCUGGUUCCCGUGAAAGUCCGGAUGGGGAUCAUUUGUUGAGGAAGCUCGGUCGAAGCCUGCCUGCAAUAGAAGUUGGGAAGGAAUUCAUUCACAAUAGAAGCUCAGGUGGAGGCUUACAGUAGAAAUUCGACGUGGACCGCUCAUAGU